rnacentral:rRNA from 1 species
CACGUAGGGCGCAAGCGUUGUCCGGAAUUAUUGGGCGUAAAGAGCUCGUAGGCGGUCUGUUGCGUCCGCUGUGAAAACUCGGGGCUUAACCCCGAGCCUGCAGUGGAUACGGGCAGACUAGAGGUAGGUAGGGGAGAAUGGAAUUCCUGGUGUAGCGGUGAAAUGCGCAGAUAUCAGGAGGAACACCGAUGGCGAAGGCAGGUCUCUGGGCAUUAACUGACGCUGAGGAGCGAAAGCAUGGGGAGCGAACAGG